AUUGAACGCUGGCGGCAUGCCUUACACAUGCAAGUCGAACGGUAACGGGCCGUUCGGGUGCCGACGAGUGGCGGAACGGGUGAGUAAUGUAUCGGAACGUUACCUUUCAGGUGGGGGAUAACGUAGCGAAAGUUACGCUAAUACCGCAUAUUCUGUGAGCAGGAAAGCAGGGGAUCGCAAGACCUUGCGCUGAUUGAGCGGCCGAUAUCAGAUUAGCUAGUUGGUGAGGUAAAGGCUCACCAAGGCGACGAUCUGUAGCGGGUCUGAGAGGAUGAUCCGCCACACUGGAACUGAGACACGGUCCAGACUCCUACGGGAGGCAGCAGUGGGGAAUAUUGGACAAUGGGCGAAAGCCUGAUCCAGCCACGCCGCGUGAGUGAUGAAGGUUUUCGGACUGUAAAGCUCUGUUGUUUAGGACGAAAGUGCCUGUUGCAAAUAGUUGCAGGUAUUGACGGUACUGAACGAGGAAGCCACGGCUAACUUCGUG
rnacentral:rRNA from 1 species